UAGACCAGUGAUGACCACUGGUGGCCUGUGCGUCAUAGAUGAUGAAUAUGUGUCUGGACUUCUGAGGUCCAA